GAGAUGAGCAGCACAUAUACUAAAAUCGGAACGAUACAGAGAAGAGUAGCCUGGCCUCUGCACAAGGAUGAUAUGCAAAUUCGUGAAGCAUUCUGUAUUUUG
rnacentral:snRNA from 1 species